UGUGUGACAACCAAUCAGUAUGUAUCACCCUCAAUACAGGGAAAGCCCGUUGUCCCUUUUUACAAUCUUGUCUUAGGGAAAUUUGUUUUGUAGCCUCAGUGUAUGAGUUUGAAAUUAAGGCCCAACAUUUAUCGUCAAAUGAAAACCGAAUUGCUGAUCAUUUAUCCCGGUGGCAUUUAAAUCACAGCCAUGAAAGUGAAUUUCGUCGGUUGACAAAAGACAAGGUUCUGACAGAAUGGAAAGUUGAUGAUUCAGACUUCAGAUUUAUGAAUGAUUGGUAGUACGUGGUAGUACAUUACAAUGUUUAUGGUCAUUGUAAUGUUGUAUAUAUAUAUAGUUUUAUCGGUAUGGUCAGAAAUAUAGUCUUCUUGAUAAGUGAUAUUUGUAUUUCAGAUUCUCAGCUUGAAACUCUGAGAAGCGAUCUUAGAGAAUCCAACAAGAGGGCAUAUGCAGAAGGUUCAAGAAAGAAUCUUAGAUUGCAUUGGGAGUCAUUUUUACUAUUUUGUCUGUAUUUUAAUCUGGAAAUAUUACCGGCUACUACUGAAACGUUGCAGUUGUAUGCACAAUUUCUCAGCAGAUCUUUAAAAUCCACUGACUCUAUCAAAAACUACAUCAGUGGAGUUAGAACUAUGCAUUUGUUUUUAGGUUACAGUUUAGAUCAUGUUAAUUCUUUCCUGAUAAAUCUUUCAUUGAAGGGUAUCGCUAAGUUGAAAAAGCACUUAGUCAAACGAGCUGAACCUAUUACUCCGGAAAUCUUACUCAAAAUUUAUGCAGCGUUAGAUUUUUCAGAUCUAGAUUCUUACACUUAUUGGUGUUUAUUUCUCUUUGCCUUUUUUCUCAUGGCAAGAAAAUCCAACUUAGUCCCAACAUCUGGAAAAGAUUUAAAUAAUCCAAGGUUUUUAUUACGCAAUGAUGUCAAAAUUUCUGAGGGUGAUCUGUUAGUCACGAUGAAAUGGACAAAAACUAUUCAAGCUGGAGAGAGACUCCUGUUCACUCCAUUGACUAGAAUUAAGGGUUCAAAUCUAUGUCCUGUGAAAGCUUAUAAAUUUAUGAUUAAGUAUGUUCCAGCUUCAGAAUAUUCGCCUUUAUUUAUCCUUAAGUCAGGCAAACCGGUCACAUACCAUAGGUACCUUACAAAAUUACGUACAGUCAUCAAGGAGAUAGGCCUGGAUCCUAUACCUUUUACAACACAUUCUUUCAGAAGAGGUUUUGCAACUCUGGCCUUCAGAUUAGAACUUCCAGCAGACCUCAUUCAACUAAUGGGUGACUGGCACUCUGAUGCUUAUAAGAAGUAUAUUCAGUACUCCUUAAUAGACAAGUUUAAAGUGUCUCGUUUUAUUGGUUCAAAUUUGUCAGUGCUUUAGUACUAGUAACACUAUAAUGAGCCAAAAUUCCCUAUUGUAUGCCUUUGAUCUAAUAAAAAAGGUUUCUGCUGUCUUUUGGAUGUUUUCACCAAUUGAGCAGAAUUUGUACAUAAGGGUAUUUGUGGUGAUUUUGUGUAUGUAUCCAAUUUUGGGUUAUAACUAGUAAUUUUGACAUUGGAAUCUUACUUAUGGUUAAUUAAAUACUUACCUUUUUCAUGUAUAUAUUCACAGUUUAAAUGUAAAUAAAGUUUUCUUUUAAUCUAGGGUAAUGUAUAUGUUUUGUUGUAUUAACAAUUCUUUUUCUACUUGCAGAAUUCCGAAGGGUUAUUAUAGUGGGAGACUCCAUUGUUAAAAAUCUACCACCGAUUGAGGGAGUUAAAGUUUCAAGCCUUUCCGGGUGCAACUAUUGGCAAAUUGUCAUUUCUUAUUAUGUUAAAACUUUGAUAGUUUUAAGGCAGAAAAAGUUCCGGUAUCUGAAAACAUGGCCGAUACACUACAGAAAUGCUACCGACAAAUUUCGCCAAAACAUGAUGAUGUGAUUUCAGUGUUAACACUCAUUGUUACCAUGAUGCUGCCUAGAUCUAUACAGUUACAACGUGCUAGAUCUAUGCAAUUCUUUGCUGACUCCCAUUUCUACAUGAUCAUAAAUCAUUCUUAAUUAUUCACUUUUAAUAUUAAAACAUAUAAUAGAAGA
rnacentral:misc_RNA from 1 species